GUAUAGCUCAGUGGCAAGGCAUUCGACUGCAAGUCGAGAUGUCUCCGGUUCAAACCCGGGUGUCCCU